rnacentral:tRNA from 1 species
GAUUGAUGGUUCAGUUGUUAAAAUCAUGGACUGCUCUUCCAAAGGCCCUGAGUUCAAUUCUCAGCAACUA